AGAAACUUUCCGCCUGGCAGAACUGUACAUGGAUGAGGUACAAACCUUGAAGUCCAGCUUCAAGAUGCCGGGAGUUUCUAACAGGAAGAAACAUGAGAUAUGGGAACAAAUAGCCGAGGAGUUGAAUAACUCAUUCAACAACUACAGGACCUCGGCUGAAGUGAAGAAACGCUGGUUCUUCAUAAGUUCCCGGUCUCGGCAAAAAAUCCAGCGAUUCCGUGAGGAACGGAAUAGGACAGGUGGUGGUCCUCCUCCCCCUCCACUGGAUCCCAUUGACGAACUAAUUGAGGAUAUUCUGGGACCAGACAGCAAAACAAUAAUGGGUGAGCCUCAAGUCGAUGAUCUGAUGGAUGUCCUGCGUGCUGACAUAAAGGACGUGAGACCUGCUGCAGGAGGAGCAACAGCAGAUCCGUUGGUCAGUUUCAAUAGCCACGAAUCUGCAGAUGCACCAACUGUAAUAUAUGUUGAUGCAUCUGCAGAAGAAGCGCUUCCCCCUUCAUCCACCCCCUCAGAAGAUCCCACCACGGGACAAAUGGGAGCUGUAAGGGCAGUGGAGUCUGCUGCCCAGGAACACAAGGCAGCUGCUCAGGCAGUGGCAUCCGCUGCACGGGCCCAAGAGGCA